rnacentral:misc_RNA from 1 species
UUUCAUCAGUGACAUCACGAUCACGUAGAGUCGUACAACAUGGAGAGAGUCCCAGUAUUGGAAUAUUACAAGAGCAACAAUUAUAUCAACAGCCACAAUAGUGCAAAAUAAACUGAUUCUGAGACAUGAAUUUAACAGGAGUUCAUGUUAAGGCCAUUAAAAUCUACAUCUGAUAUUUGGCUCACACCUUCUCUAAAUCUAACUUGUAUGAGUUUUCUUCUCUAUGCUUGACUUGCUCAAAACAAUAACUCCAAGCACGAUAAGGGAGGCGCCUGCAAACCACUGGAUUGGUAGUGGCUCCCGAAAAAGCAAAAAUCCAGCCAAUCCAGAUGAUAAAAAGUUGGUUGCAAAGUUAGUCACAGUAGCUUGUAGAGAUGAUAGAGCUUUAAGGCUAUUGACAUAGCAUCCCCACAUUGUGACAUUGAAUAAUAUGACACAACCAUAGUUGAUGAGCUGGGAGGUGAAGAAUUUGGCAGAGAUGGCUGCAAGAGCUGCGUUGAACCCAGCGGCUAUUGCCCACACAUAGCCCUCCAUUGAUGAAUUGAACUGUAGAUCUCACUAUAACUCUUGUCAAAUCAUCAGAUAGUUCAAAAUUUUUAAGGAAGAAGAA